GUUUGGCUGUAUUACAGCAUAAUACAUUGAGCUGAUCAGGUUUGAUUUUUAUUUUUUCCACAGAGAGCAAUCAGUAAGGGGAAAAGAGGUAGGCGUACAAAAGCCUCCCUAAAGGCCAAAGUCCCCAAAGUUGCUGAUGGGGCCGCUAGGUCUUCCAGUGGAAAGGAAACGAAAGUACAGCUGUGUUCCAGUGACAGUGAAAGCAAGAGCACAGUUAUUCCUGAUGUGGCUACAUCAACUGACAUUGAGGACAGCAGUGUACCUGUGCUCACACACACUGAGAGUGUAAGAGUUUG